GGAGCUUUUGUUGUCCAGUACAGCUCAGAUAGAGGAUAGAACGACAUUGUACAAAGCAUCUUCCAAUGACAACAGUUCCCGCACGAUCUUCUAUGCACGAAGCUCUGCAUUAGGCUAUAAUUGGACAAAGUAUUGACAUGCGAAUCACAGAGCAGUGAGUUGGCUAAUGGCUUCCUGUCUGUGUUUCCUCUCUGCAUGGAGGGAAUCGUGCAAAACCACACCGGCCCAUGGCUGUCUUCACUAUGUUAUUGCAUGGCACGCAAUGCAAUCUAAUCUGCUGCUGCAGGCCUACUAACCUGCCUGCUAAAUAAUAAACACCACUGGACAGCAGCCUGCAAGGCCACGUAUAAUCCAGUCUUUUAACAGCUUUGUCAUUGAUGCUACUGCACCACAUGGUCUCAAAUGCCUCCAUUUUCCUGGAAGAGUAAGACGGAUUGCUGUGAGAGACAGAGACAGAGACAGGCGAAGACAAAGGGAGAAAGAAGGACGGCAUCUGCUGAGAGAGAUGUCAUACAGGUGGGUCUUGAAAGACAGAGGUCAAAUCUGACACAGACAGGCAGUCAAGUGAGCACCAGUGAUGAAGGAGAGGAGCAGCCCUGUCCUGUUUUCUGUCCUCAAUUGAUAUGAUUCGUACUCUGGUUAAAAAAAAAUGGUGAGAGACGAAUAAAUGUUGUAAAACGUGUUGAUGUGAAUCAAUGAAUCUUGAAUUAGCAAAAAACUUAGUAGAGCUUGUAAAACCUGUUAACUGUCAGUUUUCAUACUCGACUAAAUCUUUUACAGUUUUAUAUUGAAAUACAUUUUUGUCCCU
ensembl:lncRNA